GCAGACACAUUCCAGCCAAUCAGCAGCAGACCCUCCCUCCCAGACCCUUCCACCUCCUGGACAGCUCACUAAGAAUGCAGCUUCACAAUGAAUGUAAAAUGGAUGCUGUCCAGGAGGUGGGAGGGUCUGGGAGGGAGGGUCUGCUGCUGAUUGGCUGGAAUGUGUCUG